rnacentral:rRNA from 1 species
AGGACGAACGCUGGCGGCGUGCUUAACACAUGCAAGUCGAGCGAACCUUCGGGUUAGCGGCGAACGGGUGAGUAACACGUGGGCAACCUGCCCCGAGCUCUGGGAUAACUCCGGGAAACCGGGGCUAAUACCGGAUAUGACCCGAGAAGACAUCUUCUCGGGUGGAAAGUUUUUCGGCUCGGGAUGGGCCCGCGGCCUAUCAGCUUGUUGGUGGGGUAACGGCCUACCAAGGCGACGACGGGUAGCCGGCCUGAGAGGGCGACCGGCCACAUUGGGACUGAGACACGGCCCAGACUCCUACGGGAGGCAGCAGUGGGGAAUAUUGCGCAAUGGGCGAAAGCCUGACGCAGCGACGCCGCGUGAGGGAUGAAGGCCUUCGGGUUGUAAACCUCUUUCAGCAGGGACGAAGCGCAAGUGACGGUACCUGCAGAAGAAGCACCGGCCAACUACGCGCCAGCAGCCGC